GAUGAACGCUGGCGGCGUGCCUAAUACAUGCAAGUCGAGCGAACGGACGAGAAGCUCGCUUCUCUGAUGUUAGCGGCGGACGGGUGAGUAACACGUGGAUAACCUACCUAUAAGACUGGGAUAACUUCGGGAAACCGGAGCUAAUACCGGAUGAUAUUUUGAACCGCAUGGUUCAAAAGUGAAAGACGGUCUUGCUGUCACUUAUAGAUGGAUCCGCGCUGCAUUAGCUAGUUGGUAAUGUAACGGCUUACCAAGGCAACGAUGCAUAGCCGACCUGAGAGGGUGAUCGGCCACACUGGAACUGAGACACGGUCCAGACUCCUACGGGAGGCAGCAGUAGGGAAUCUUCCGCAAUGGGCGAAAGCCUGACGGAGCAACGCCGCGUGAGUGAUGAAGGUCUUCGGAUCGUAAAACUCUGUUAUUAGGGAAGAACAUAUGUGUAAGUAACUGUGCACAUCUUGACGGUACCUAAUCAGAAAGCCACGGCUAACUACGUG
rnacentral:rRNA from 1 species